rnacentral:rRNA from 1 species
UAGGGAAUCUUCCGCAAUGGACGCAAGUCUGACGGAGCAACGCCGCGUGAGUGAAGAAGGAUUUCGGUUCGUAAAACUCUGUUGUUAGAGAAGAACAGCGCAUAGAGUAACUGUUAUGCGUGUGACGGUAUCUAACCAGAAAGCCACGGCUAACUACGUGCCAGCAGCCGCGGUAAUACGUAGGUGGCAAGCGUUGUCCGGGUAUAUUGGGCGUAAAGCGAGCGCAGGCGGUCAAUUAAGUCUGAUGUGAAAGCCCCCGGCUCAACCGGGGAGGGUCAUUGGAAACUGGUUGACUUGAGUGCAGAAGGGGAGAGUGGAAUUCCAUGUGUAGCGGUGAAAUGCGUAGAUAUAUGGAGGAACACCAGUGGCGAAGGCGACUCUCUAGUCUGUAACUGACGCUGAGGCUCGAAAGCGUGAGUAGCAAACAGG